CAGAGGGUGCAAGCGUUAAUCGGAUUUACUGGGCGUAAAGCGUGAGUAGGUGGCUCGCUAAGUCGGUUGUGAAAUCCCUGGGCUCAACCUGGGAAUUGCAGUCGAUACUGACGAGCUCGAGUUCGGUAGAGGGUGACGGAAUUCCCGGUGUAGUGGUGAAAUGCGUAGAUAUCGGGAGGAACAUCGAUGGCGAAGGCAAUCACCUGGGCCUGAACUGACACUGAGACACGAAAGCGUGGGUAGCAAACAGGGUUAGAUACCCUGGUAGUCCACGCCGUAAACGAUGAGAACCUGACGUCGGUUUGCUCUGCGAAUCGGUGUCGUAGCUAACGCGCUGAGUUCUCCGCCUGGGGAGUACGGCCGCAAGGUUG
rnacentral:rRNA from 1 species